rnacentral:rRNA from 2 species
UACGAAGGGGGCGAGCGUUGUUCGGAUUUACUGGGCGUAAAGGGCGCGCAGGCGGCUUAUUUUGUCAGGCGUGAAAGCCCCGGGCUUAACCUGGGAACUGCGUUUGAUACGGAUGGGCUAGAGUUCGGGAGAGGAGAGUGGAAUUCCCAGUGUAGAGGUGAAAUUCGUAGAUAUUGGGAAGAACACCGGUGGCGAAGGCGGCUCUCUGGACCGAGACUGACGCUGAGGCGCGAAAGCGUGGGGAGCAAACAGG